ncrna:unclassified sequences DTF3800-VII RNA
AGUGAGUGAGUAGUUCGCUGAGUUACUAAAGGGUAUGCGUAUUUGCGUACCAGCAGGCUUGCCCUGUGGGUACCUUUAGUCAGGGGAAAGCUCACUUUUUA